rnacentral:rRNA from 1 species
CGAGCGAACAGACGAGGAGCUUGCUCCUCUGACGUUAGCGGCGGACGGGUGAGUAACACGUGGAUAACCUACCUAUAAGACUGGGGUAACUUCGGGAAACCGGAGCUAAUACCGGAUAAUAUAUUGAACCGCAUGGUUCAAUAGUGAAAGACGGUUUUGCUGUCACUUAUAGAUGGAUCCGCGCCGCAUUAGCUAGUUGGUAAGGCAACGGCUUACCAAGGCAACGAUGCGUAGCCGACCUGAGAGGGUGAUCGGCCACACUGGAACUGAGACACGGUCCAGACUCCUACGGGAGGCAGCAGUAGGGAAUCUUCCGCAAUGGGCGAAAGCCUGACGGAGCAACGCCGCGUGAGUGAUGAAGGUCUUCGGAUCGUAAAACUCUGUUAUUAGGGAAGAACAAAUGUGUAAGUAACUAUGCACGUCUUGACGGUACCUAAUCAGAAAGCCACGGCUAACUACGUGCCAGCAGCCGCGGUAAUACGUAGGUGGCAAGCGUUAUCCGGAAUUAUUGGGCGUAAAGCGCGCGUAGGCGGUUUUUUAAGUCUGAUGUGAAAGCCCACGGCUCAACCGUGGAGGGUCAUUGGAAACUGGAAAACUUGAGUGCAGAAGAGGAAAGUGGAAUUCCAUGUGUAGCGGUGAAAUGCGCAGAGAUAUGGAGGAACACCAGUGGCGAAGGCGACUUUCUGGUCUGUAACUGACGCUGAUGUGCGAAAGCGUGGGGAUCAAACAGGAUUA